rnacentral:rRNA from 1 species
CCUACGGGUGGCAGCAGUGAGGAAUAUUGGUCAAUGGGCGUAAGCCUGAACCAGCCAAGUCGCGGUAAGGAUGAAGGUUCUAUGGAUCGUAAACCUCGUUUAUCAGGGAAUAAAGUGCGGGACGUGACCCGUUUUGUAUGUACCUUAUGAAUAAGGAGCGGCUAACUCCGUGCCAGCAGCAGCGGUAAUACGGAGGAUCCGAGCGUUAGCAGGCUUGAUGGGGUUGAAGGGGUGAGUAGGCGUCCUUUUAAUUCAGCGUUGAAAGUCUGUGUCUAAACCAUAGAAUGGCCGUUGAAACUGUGAGGCUUGAGUAUGUUUGAGGCAGGCGGAAUGCGUGGUGUAGCGGUGAAAUGCUUAGCUAUCACGCAGAACCACGAUUGCGAGGGCAGCCUGCCAAGCCAUGACUGACGCUGCUGCACGACAGCGUGGGGAUCAAACAGGAUUAGAUACCCGUGUAGUC